rnacentral:lncRNA from 10 species
CAGACAUCCAGCAAGGAGUUUCUGGGUUCUUUGCUCUGGGUUUUAGGAGAGUGAAUUCGAGAUGUGAGCCAGACCAAGUUCUAAUUUGUAAACUCUGAAGAAAAGUUAUUGUCCAAGGUAUUUUGUGGUGAAGAUGAACUCUAGAAUCAGGUACUGCAAUUUGAAUGCUGGCUCCACAACUGAUAAGGUACAUGCCCUGGGACAAACCACACCACCUCUCAGAGCCUGUCACAAGGCAGUCAGGACAUUUUAGGAGCAAACGCCUAUGAAGCUCGUAAAAAGGGCUUGGCUUAUGGGAAGUGAGUUUAACAAUUCUGAAGAAGUAUCAUUUGCAAGCGUCUGGGGAAAAAAUGAUCAGAAUUUGAAGAAAGAACAAAACGCACAAAGUAACAAUAAAAAAAAUCAAUGAAAGACAAAGCAACAGAAGAACAGAGUAAUAAAGCACAGAUCCACCGAACACAAUUCACAGAGCAGGAGUGAGUUCGAGCAAGCGGCUCAAAAGCCUCCUUAAUCAGGGUUUUUAUUAAGCUGUAAAGAACCCGGCGACACCCUUCGGUUCCCGCCUGCCCCCCCGCCCCCCCACCCCGAGGCCUCCAAUUGGCCACACCCAUGAAGGACUGACCUGUGACCAAUCAGAGGCUGAAGUGGAGACCCCGCCCGCAGUCAAUCAGAGGCUGAAGUGGCUUGUUAUCUUGGGAGCGAGGACGAGGCCUAUUUGCUGCACUUGCUGCUCUCCUGCCUAUACGACCUGGCUGCACCUGCUGUUCUUUUGCUUAUGCGAACUGGCUUCACCUGCUGUUCUCUUGCUUCUGCGAACUGGCUGCACCUGCUGUUCUCCUGCUCAUGCUUUAACCCCUGCUCACCCCAGUUCCCUAUUCUCCUACCUAGUUUCCCCUUGAGAGAAUUAAUUUAAAUUUAAACUCGGUAACCCUAACCAACUUUCAAGUGCUCAGUAGUCACAUGUGGCUAUGAGUACCAUGUUGGGUAACAGAGAUAUAGAACAUUACCAUCUUUACAGAAACUUCUGUCAGACAUCAGAGGUUAAUCUCUGUUCAUUUGCCUGGAAGGUUUUUCAUAUUACAGGUCAAAGAAAAUUCUUUGAAUCAGAUAGAUAGUAUGCAUAUAUUGUAAGUAACAGAUAAC